rnacentral:rRNA from 1 species
AAGUCGAGGGGUAUAGUAAGCUUGCUUACUAGAGACCGGCGCACGGGCGCCUAAUGCGUAUGCAAUCUACCUUUUACAGGGGAAUAGCCCACCCAAAUUUGGAUUAAUGCCCCAUAGUAUAUAUUAUUCGCAUGUUUGAUAUAUUAAAGUUCCAACGGUAAAAGAUGAGCAUGCGUCCCAUUAGUUAGUUGGUAAGGUAACGGCUUACCAAGACGAUGAUGGGUAGGGGUCCUGAGAGGGAGAUCCCCCACACUGGUACUGAGACACGGACCAGACUCCUACGGGAGGCAGCAGUGAGGAAUAUUGGUCAAUGGGCGCAAGCCUGAACCAGCCAUGCCGCGUGCAGGAAGACGCAUCUAUGGUGUGUAAACUGCUUUUGUACGGGAAGAAACACUCCCUCUUGAGGGAGCUUGACGGUACCGUAAGAAUAAGGAUCGGCUAACUCCGUGCCAGCAGCCGCGGUUAAUACGGAGGAUCCAAGCGUUAUCCGGAAUCAUUGGGUUUAAAGGGUCCGUAGGCGGUUUAGUAAGUCAGUGGUGAAAGCCCAUCGCUUAACGAUGGAACGGCCAUUGAUACUGCUAGACUUGAAUUACUGGGAAGUAACUAGAAUAUGUAG